rnacentral:rRNA from 1 species
AGAGUUUGAUCAUGGCUCAGGAUGAACGCUGGCGGCGUGCCUAACACAUGCAAGUCGAGCGAUUUACUUCGGUAAAGAGCGGCGGACGGGUGAGUAACGCGUGGGUAACCUGCCCUAUACACACGGAUAACAUACCGAAAGGUAUGCUAAUACGAGAUAAUAUAAGAGAUUCACAUGGAUUUCUUAUCAAAGCUGAGGCGGUAUAGGAUGGACCCGCGUCUGAUUAGCUAGUUGGUAAGGUAACGGCUUACCAAGGCGACGAUCAGUAGCCGACCUGAGAGGGUGAUCGGCCACAUUGGAACUGAGACACGGUCCAAACUCCUACGGGAGGCAGCAGUGGGGAAUAUUGCACAAUGGGCGAAAGCCUGAUGCAGCAACGCCGCGUGAGUGAUGAAGGCCUUCGGGUCGUAAAACUCUGUCCUCAAGGAAGAUAAUGACGGUACUUGAGGAGGAAGCCCCGGCUAACUACGUGCCAGCAGCCGCGGUAAUACGUAGGGGGCUAGCGUUAUCCGGAUUUACUGGGCGUAAAGGGUGCGUAGGUGGUCUCUUAAGUCAGGAGUGAAAGGCUACGGCUUAACCGUAGUAAGCUCUUGAAACUGGGAGACUUGAGUGCAGGAGAGGAAAGUGGAAUUCCUAGUGUAGCGGUGAAAUGCGUAGAUAUUAGGAGGAACACCAGUAGCGAAGGCGGCUUUCUGGACUGUAACUGACACUGAGGCACGAAAGCGUGGGGAGCAAACAGGAUUAGAUACCCUGGGUAGUCCACGCCGUAAACGAUGAGUACUAGGUGUCGGGGGUUACCCCCCUCGGUGCCGCAGCUAACGCAUUAAGUACUCCGCCUGGGGAGUACGCUCGCAAGAGUGAAACUCAAAGGAAUUGACGG